CUACUGCACUGCGGGACAAACAACAGUGUCUUUCGACUGGGAAGACGGAUGAAGACUUCCUUUUAAAAAAUCAUUUUUAACGGAGCAGUUUCGAAUCAGAUUAAGCCAACUUGAAACUGAAAGUAGCUGAAGGCUUGAAUUGCUGAAGAGCACAAUGAAACCAUAACAUUACCAACACCAAUGUGACAGAGCUAACAGUAGCUUUUGGGAUCAAAAGAACCAAAGAAAAGAGGAUGAGAAAAAUGGACCAGUUUUGUGAAAAAUUAAGAAGCAAUUAAAACUUGACCGAUGUCAGUUGUUUUACAAGAAAGAUGAUGAAACAAAAUGAGUCCAAGUCUGUCUGUACAUAUAACACUGACAAUAAUAUUUCCAGAUUCAAAAGCGCCCAGUUUUGGCUAAAAAGUAAUUGAAUGCAGGACAAAAAUACAUCUGCUGUUUUUAAUCAAAGCAUUUAAGAAGAUUGACACACCUUAAGACAUCCUAAAUAAAUACGAGUGUAGAUGCAUAGUUUUUGUAAUUGUAACAUUAUAAAAAAUAACGAUCAUACAUUAUUGAAAAAUGUAUUAAAGUUUAGGACAUUUAUGUUGCCGUUGCAGCCUUGUUUUAUCUCACUGAUUAACUUGUCUUUAUCUGUGCACUUGAACUCAGUGAGUCGUUUGAUUCUCACAAAUUCUAUUUUACAGUCUGUUUUUUUUUGUUUGUUUGUUUUGCAUUAGAUUUGUUUUUUCACCGUUUGUCUGACUGGAAAUUCUCCAUCUGGACAUGCAAGUUCUUGCCUGACUCUGCCUCAUUAACAUGCAUGGUUUACUUCUGGGUCCAACAUUACCUUUGUUCAUUGGCUGGCAUACUGUGGUGAUUAUUUUUUUAUUUGGCAGUUUCCUUCCACCACUACUACUACUUGGAUUACAUCCAGUUGUAUUUGUCUUUUAAUCGUGCAUUGGUGUCCUCGUGCCUAAAUUACUGUAAAACUCUUUUCACCAGUGUGACUCAAGAUAAAUCAUAAAUUUCACACCUCCUGGUUAUUCAGUAUUCAUCACUAAGACUUUUCACAAAACCCAAAGUAACAUUACACCUGCUCUUUACACUGGUUACCAGGAAACUUUAAAAUAUGUUUUAGAGUAUUCACACUCAUGGACUAAGGUCCAAAUGGCAAAGAAAUUGAUUAUCUACAUCAACUUUUAACAAAACAUGUUCCAUCUUGUAUUGAUCCCAAAGUCAGAAUUUGUUGGUUGUAGCUUAAAAGCUGCAGGAGUAUUUUAUAAGAUGCUUUAGGGACCAAAGUUUCGAAAACCUGAACACCAAUUCUGAGCUGGACUUGUUUUUAGCCCUUUAUCUCAAGAAGAUAUUCAGCAUUCUUAUACUCAACCCUAAACCACUACUACAGUAACAUUACCCUUGGUCUCACCACUUCCCUGUCACAUAUCCUUAUUCCUUCUUUGAAUUUUGUUCACAAAUUGUAAGAAAGCCACACCAACUUCCUGUGCCACAACAGAACACACUCGCCUCUUUUCGACCAAUGAGACGGUUUUAAGGAAGGAAGUGACAUUAGAUAACCUGUGGACUCAGACAGUUCAAAUUCGGAUAUCCUUACUGACAUUUAGUUUUGGAUACUGGUGGACGUGAAUUGGGGUUUUGGAUUGAAUUUUCUCAGAAAGAAGAUGUUUUAUAUUAGAUAUCAUAUGAAAGGAUAUUUGCAAACGAUUACAGUUAAACCAAAAAUAUCUUGCUAUCAACAUUCAAAGUGUUCAUAACCUCUACCUAAAAUUGAAUCUCAAUAUAUAAAAGUAUAUUUUACUUUCACAAUAAAAGUAAAAUAUACUUUUAUAUUUAACUUUUGCUAUUUUUACCAUUGCAACAACACAUCAUCAGUAGGGUAAAACUAACCUGUCUCACGACGGUCUAAACCCAGCUCACGUUCCCUAUCAGUGGGUGAACAAUCCAACGCUUGGUGAAUUCUGCUUCAUGAUGAUAGGAAGAGUUGACGUCGAAGGAUCAAAAAGCGACGUCGGUAUGAAUGCUUGGCCGCCACAAGCCAGUUAUCCCUGCGGAAACCUUUCUGACACCUCCUGCUUAAAACCCCAAAAGUCAGAAGGAUCGUGAGGCCCCGCUUUCACGGCCUGUAUUCAUACUG